rnacentral:misc_RNA from 1 species
GAUGAAGAACGCAGCGAAAUGCGAUAAGUAGUGUGAAUUGCAGAAUUCCGUGAAUCAUCGAAUCUUUGAACGCACAUUGCGCCUUCUGGUAUUCCGGAAGGCAUGCCUGUUCGAGAGUCAUUAACAACCGUUUCGAUCCCUUUCUUUCAGAAAUUACAAAGAGGAAAAGGGUUUGGUUAUGGUGGAGGAGGGAAAGGGAGCGUUUAGCCUGUAAAAAAAGAGGCUGUGUUCCGCCUCCCCCCCAAAAUUGUACAGGCGGUCGUGUGCGCCCACGCAUCGAGGUGUUGUAAAAGCUGCCACGGAACUUUUCACCUGUGCAGUGCGAGAUUGGCCAGCCGGUUUAAAAACCCCUCCAAACAAUCAAAGGUUGACCUCGGAUCAGGUAGGGAUACCCGCUGAACUUAAGCAUAUCAAUAAGCGGAGGA